rnacentral:rRNA from 1 species
GUACAACUCUUAUCGAUAAGCCAUUGGAGGGCAAGUCUGGUGCCAGCAGCCGCGGUAAUUCCAGCUCCAAUAGCGUAUAUUAACGUUGUUGCAGUUAAAAAGCUCGUAGUUGAAGUGUGGGUGAUCGCUGUUGUGAGACUUCGGUCUCUCGAUAGUAAGUCACCCCCUUCCAGUAUCCAGUAGUGGGUAUUCACUUACUUACUACUGUGUGUUGGUCAUUUACUGUGAGAAAAUUAGAGUGUUCAAAGCAGGCGUUUGCUUGAAUAGAUUAGCAUGGAAUAAUAAUUGAAGGCUUUCGUGUUCGAUUUGAUUGGUUUGUUCAUGGAAGCAAGGUUAAAAGGAACAGUUGGGGGUAUUCAUAUUCACUAGUUAGAGGUGAAAUUCUCGGAUUUAUGGAAGAUGAACAAGGGCGAAAG